AGCAGCCGCGGUAAUUCCAGCUCCAAUAGCGUAUAUUAAAGUUGUUGCAGUUAAAAAGCUCGUAGUUGAACCUCGGGAUCAAUGGGUCGGUCGUGCCAAUGGUAUGUACUGGCCUCAUUGGUUCUCACCUUCUAAGGAACCGUGAUGUCAUUUGUUUGAUGUUGCGGGGAAUUAGGACUGUUACCUUGAAAAAAUUAGAGUGUUUAAAGCAGGCCAACGCUUGAAUACAUUAGCAUGGAAUAAUGAAAUAGGACAUCGCAUUCUAUUUUGUUGGUUUCUAGGAUCGAUGUAAUGAUUAAUAGGGAUAGUUGGGGGCAUUAGUAUUCAAUUGUCAGAGGUGAAAUUCUUGGAUUUAUUGAAGACUAACUACUGCGAAAGCAUUUGCCAAGGAUGUUUUCAUUAAUCAAGAACGAAAGUUAGGGGAAUCGAAGACGAUCAGAUACCGUCGUAGUCUUAACCAUAAACUAUGCCGACUAGGGAUCGGAUGAUGUUAAUUUUUAAUGACUCU
rnacentral:rRNA from 1 species